UACGUAGGGUGCAAGCGUUGUCCGGAUUUAUUGGGCGUAAAGAGCGUGUAGGCGGCCAUGCAGGUCCGUUGUGAAAACUCGAGGCUCAACCUCGAGACGCCGAUGGAAACCGUGUGGCUAGAGUCCGGAAGAGGAGAGUGGAAUUCCUGGUGUAGCGGUGAAAUGCGCAGAUAUCAGGAAGAACACCCGUGGCUAAGGCGGCUCUCUAGUACGGUACUGACGCUGAGACGCGAAAGCGUGGGGAGCGAACAGG
rnacentral:rRNA from 1 species